ACUGCCGGCUCCCACUGCACACGGCCAGGGUGAAAGGUCUCACUUCCCUGUUCUGCAGAGCCAUAUUAAUCGAACACCGAGCGGCGCCCUCACGAACCCAGAGAAGAGCAAGCGACCGCUGAGUGUAACUGGGUACCGGGUCCUCCAGAAACGCUGCGAAAGGCCGAUCGAGGGUAAAAAGGUCUUUUCUUGCCUGCGUACUUAAAAAGACGUUUUUAGCUGACCAACGGCCGAUUCUCAGAAGUGGGUUAGGCGGGAGUGGAUGAGAAUUUGAUACGGAACACGCUUUUAAGAUUUUUUUUAACGCUAUCUAGAAGGGGUAUCGAAAUUAAACGUAUUCGUACCUCCCAAAAGCCUUAAGGGACUUAUGGCUCAGAGGAAGGAGGUGAAAUACCCUCAUUCUUGCAAACGGUAGCUCAACAGCUAGUAAAACCACACAUACACUAUUCCAUUUUUCAAAAAAGUAAAAUGAAAGUGACUUACUUAGGUAUAAUCGUUUCAGAAAAGAGAAGAGAGCAUCUUAAAGUAAAAAUACAACCACCCCAGAUGGGACUCGAACCCACAAUCCCUGGCUUAGGAGGCCAAUGCCUUAUCCAUUAGGCCACUGGGGCUUCUGCGAGCGAGACGCUCAAACAUCAUGUUCAAUUUUUUUUCUCCUUGGUACGUCAUCGUCACUUAAGAUUAUCUUUACCCUAUCCUGAGAAGCCACACCUAGUAUCAAUAUGAGGGUCGAAGCAUGCUGGGAGUUGUAGUUUCGAAAACAAAAGCCCAGUUACAGCUCAAAGGAUUUACCCUCGAAACAGCAGUCUCGGCGCAGAAUGCUGAGCGGGCGCGCGCACGCACGCGUUUGCGUACGCGUUCGCAAAAGCCGUCGCCCCCGCCUGCGCAAAAGUGGGCUUGCGACGUCGCGGACCCGGGCGCGCAACACAAACUGAUCCUUGAGACCCGCCCUCUGAGGCUUUUCUCCUUCGGGCUCUCACCGGAAGCAGUCUGGUCCUUUCCGGCGUGGUGGUUCUUUCGGGCAUGGUUUUGCUCCAGCAGGCCAUUAGGCGGCGUCUUCAGCGGUCAGUUUCUGCUUCCGGUUGAAGGCAUUUCCGCAGAGCUAGGGACGUGUGGGAAACGUACGCCUUGUGUUUUAAGUUGGUGGGUCAACGAUAAACAUGGGGUCGCGAGAAAUUUGUAGUUAACUAAUUAGGAAUUAGAAGUAUUUUGGAAUAAACUGAGUCGCUUUCGGGUUCUGCCCUUAAUUGUACAGUUUGGACAAGUCCCUUUUAUUCUCGGCGACGCUUGCCUUUAAAUUUCUCAGUGGCUUUCCAUUGCCCCAAAGACAGCGUCCAGUUUCCUGAAAUUGACAUACUGGACAUCACCUAAAUCGGCCCUAGCUUGUGCAGGCGCCAUCUCCCAUCGUUCGCCUCUUGUCAGCCUCUGCUCCAGGGAUCUGAACUUCUCUCCCCCCACCUCCUUACAGUCACUGUACCUGUACCUUUUGCGCCAAGUCCUAUUUGCCCUUGGGGUUUUGACUUACUCCAGUAGUCAAGGGUCGGCCCUGCUUGAUGCACUCCAUCUCCUUUGGCCUCUCGUUUCCCUUGGUUUAUUCCUUGUACUAUUGUGGUUGUAGAGCUGCGGUGGCCCUCUGCCUAACAGAAGUCUGUUCCUGCAGGCCAGUUCUGGAAGGACAGUCACCUCUUUAAGGGAAGCGCACCUUUUAGCCCUAAUGGCUACACGACAUUAGCUGCUGAGCAGAGUGAUAAGCACAAAUGGAACAGUAAUGGUACCUGGGACUAAUACCCUAAAAGUACAACAUGCCGAACGAAACACUUAGCUCACAGACUACUGGUUUGUAAAGAAAGAAGAAGAGAAAAAAGCGGGAACCAUGCUGGGUGCUUUCCAGAUUUCUGAUUCAAUCACACCUGCCGGGUCUCCAUCACCCUGUGGAUGAGGAAAAUACACCAAAGGAGCUCAGGAUCACAUCUACAGUGACACAGCGGUGUACAGAGGCAGUUUUCGGCGGACACAACAUCUUUGUUGUAUGUGGUGCUGAGGAUCGAACCUGGGCCGCACGCAUGCCAGGCGAGCACGCUACCACUUGAGCCACAUCCCCAGCCCCUGAAGGUACAUGUUAAUGAGACACAGCCAAUUCUGAGGUAAGGACACUCCGUCACAUGUCAGAGUAUACCUACACAACAGGCUGUCAUUGUCCUUUGAAAAGUACAACAUGAUCUCACAACAUGACCCAAAAUC